rnacentral:sRNA from 2 species
UUGAAUAACCGGCUUAAUCCUGGUGCACCAGGAACGGAGGAACCAAUUAUUGGGGGUUAAUUCUGUUUACAGAAGGGAUGAGUAACUCUUUCGCCAUCCUACCCGUCAGCUAACUUCGUCGGCUAAAGCGAAGGAGGUC